rnacentral:rRNA from 1 species
UACAGAGGUCCCGAGCGUUGUUCGGAUUCACUGGGCGUAAAGGGUGCGUAGGUGGCGAGGAAAGUCGGAUGUGAAAGCCCCGGGCUCAACCCGGGAAGUGCACUCGAAACUUCCGAGCUUGAGUUCUGGAGAGGAUAGCGGAAUUCUCGGUGUAGAGGUGAAAUUCGUAGAUAUCGAGAGGAACACCGGUGGCGAAGGCGGCUAUCUGGACAGUGACUGACGCUGAGACGCGAAAGCGUGGGGAGCAAACAGG